UUUAAUAAAACCCAUCUCAGGCAUAGAAGUGCAGUCUGUAACCUUGGUUUAAGUGGAGACGCUGACUUUCUUGGAGACUGAAGUGUGCCAGACAGUCCUGUUGUGGAAGGUCAGAUCAGCAGCUUGUGUUGGCCUGAAGAGUAUCCUGCAUCCAUGGCAUUCAUUUUGCUCCUUCCUUGUUUCACGCCUCUUGAGAAACAGACCUGAAACACGACGAUGAUGGUUUCCAUACACUGAUUGUUGCCUCUUCCAUUGUAAUUAUUUUGACUGAAAGUAAGCUGAAGGAACUAAAAGUUUCAUCAAUGGUCCAAAAAGACAGAAGCAUGAAGAACUGAAGAAGAAAAUAUUUGUGGUAGAUCAAGAUGGCCAAGACAUGGAUAAGCAUGUUGUCUGGAUUUAUUUCUUCUAUUGUG